AACGAACGCUGGCGGCAUGCCUAACACAUGCAAGUCGAACGAGACCUUCGGGUCUAGUGGCGCACGGGUGCGUAACGCGUGGGAACCUGCACUUAGGUUCGGAAUAACUCCCCGAAAGGGGUGCUAAUACCGGAUAAUGUCUUCGGACCAAAGAUUUAUCGCCUUUGGAUGGGCCCGCGUUGGAUUAGCUAGUUGGUAGGGUAAAAGCCUACCAAGGCGACGAUCCAUAGCUGGUCUGAGAGGAUGAUCAGCCACACUGGGACUGAGACACGGCCCAGACUCCGACGGGGGGCAGCAGUGGGGAAUAUUGGACAAGGGGCGAAAGCCUGAUCCAGCAAUGCCGCGUGAGUGAUGAAGGCCUUAGGGUUGUAAAGCUCUUUUACCCGGGAUGAUAAUGACAGUACCGGGAGAAUAAGCUCCGGCUAACUCCGUG
rnacentral:rRNA from 1 species